UACAGAGGUCCCAAGCGUUGUUCGGAUUCACUGGGCGUAAAGAGCUCGUAGGCGGUCUGUCGCGUCUGCCGUGAAAACCCGAGGCUUAACCUCGGGCUGGCGGUGGAUACGGGCAGACUAGAGGUAGGUAGGGGAGAAUGGAAUUCCCGGUGUAGCGGUGAAAUGCGCAGAUAUCGGGAGGAACACCGGUGGCGAAGGCGGUUCUCUGGGCCUUACCUGACGCUGAGGAGCGAAAGCAUGGGGAGCGAACAGG
rnacentral:rRNA from 1 species